GGGGCCUUAGCUCAGCUGGGAGAGCACCUGCUUUGCAAGCAGGGGGUCGUCGGUUCGAUCCCGACAGGCUUCC
rnacentral:tRNA from 1 species